AUAUUGUCGUACGUCUUCUAAUGUCGUUGCUCGGUGCUCCGUUUUUAUUGGUUUGAAUCAACAGAUUGAUGUGCGAACAUUGUAUUCAAGGCCUUACUUGAAGUACCGACUACGAGGAAAGAUUUUAUUCUUUUCUGGUCUUCAUUGGACCAACUCAUGACAGUCUUUGUGGCCUUAGCUUCUGGUCUGAAUUUCCAUGGUUGGAUCUGGCGUGCCUUGAUCUGGCCACAGUCGUGUUGGAUGAAUAAAGACAAGUUUUUUUUUGUUUUUUUUCAGAAUAAUGAAUAAAGACAAGUGUGUUGAAACUAUUUGCAACCUCAAAAAAACGAGAGCGAUGGAGGCAGGAGAGGAGAUACAGCCCAGGUCUUAGGCCCAAGUCCAUCGAAAGGCAUAUACGGAAAUGGACAAGUCUAUGAUGGACCGGCCCAGUUCUACACGAAGCACAUCAUGGACUACCGAGUUUCAGGCAAAGUUUUCUCUCAAAAAGGAAGUUUCAGGCAAUGUUACGAGUCUAUGACCAGC
rnacentral:lncRNA from 1 species